AUUAUGCUUUUCUUGAACGACGCAGCAUCUUCGAUAGGUUCUCCGUUUAUAGCUGUAGCGCAGACAUUAUGCUCCAACAUUGUAGCGUGAUUCCCUUCAACGUAGUGCACUUCUAUUUUUCCCCGGGUGACCUUUUUGAGACCAUAAUCUUCCGCCAUCAAACGUACAGAGUGAAUCUUAGGCCUAAGUAAGAUUAUCGGUGUUUCUAAAAG